GACGAACGCUGGCGGCGUGCCUAAUACAUGCAAGUCGAGCGAACAGACGAGGAUCUUUCUCCUCUGACGUUAUCGGCGGACGCGUGAGUAACACGUGGAUACCCUCCCUCUAAGACUGGGAUAUCUUCGUGAAACCGGAGCUCAUACCGGAGAAUAUCUUGCUCCUCAUGUUUCAAUAUUGAAAGAGGCUUUUGCAUUCACUUAUAGUUGGUUCCGCGCCGCAUUAGCUAGUUGGUAAGGUAACGGCUUACCAAGGCAACGAUGCGUAGCCGACCUGAGAGGGUGAUCGGCCACACUGGAACUGAGACACGGUCCAGACUCCUACGGGAGGCAGCAGUAGGGAAUCUUCCGCAAUGGGCGAAAGCCUGACGGAGCAACGCCGCGUGAGUGAUGAAGGUCUUCGGAUCGUAAAACUCUGUUAUUAGGGAAGAACAAAUGUGUAAGUAACUAUGCACGUCUUGACGGUACCUAAUAAGAAAGCCACGGCUAACUACGUG
rnacentral:rRNA from 1 species